UGUUAGGCUUUUUAGUGUUCAUCAAGGAAAUUGUGAAUAAUAAAAUAAAUAAUAUAAUAUUUUGUUAAUAUUAUUCUGUGUGGUCAUGAAAGUUAUUGAUCCAUUUAAAUAGCAUUGAAAUAUUUACUUUUGAUUUUGGCUACUUCUGUUUCUUCUUAGAUUUUUAUUGCUGUUUAACCUCAAUACCUAUUCGUAUUUUGUUUAUGGCAUAAUUUAUUAAAAAAAUAAAUAGAAUUUUAUUAUCAAAUUUCAGAAUACUUAAUCGGCUAAACAGAAACUUAAACCUAAUAAACUUAACUCAUUUUCAUUUCAUUAAAAAGUUUGUUAUUCUAUGGAAUAGGCCUAGGCUAUGCAUAAUUAAGAUUAUAAAAAUUAUCUCUUGCUUUCUAUAAGAAUAAUUUUAUUUGCUAUGAAGGUCCUCUGCAUUUCAUAAAGAUUGAUUUUAAUUUAAAUUCAAUAGCUCAAGUACUGAAACUUUAUGAUUUUUGUUUUACAGGCAGCUUGGCCUUCUUCCAGUCCUAUCUGAAAGAAAACUAUGGCCACAUCGAGAUGGCAGCAGAAGUCACCACAGAGGGUCAUGUGUGGACUACUGAUGCAACAAAAGUGAAAUUUAUUCGGGAUUAAAAGUUAACAGACCGUUGUGCAACCCGGUGAUAAUCUUGUAUUAAAGGAAGUUCUUAUGUAGCAAGCACAAGUUAUGAAGUUAGUAAAGGCUAUUAUUAAUUACAUCAGAUGACUUUUGUUGCUGCAAGAGUGUCGACCAUGUUCAUCUACUGAAGCUGCAAUGACAUCCACUAUCUCAUAGAAUGUUCUAUGAGCAGUACUUUGAGAAAAAUUAUAUCUGUCAUCA